rnacentral:misc_RNA from 1 species
GAUGAAGAACGCAGCGAAAUGCGAUACGUAAUGUGAAUUGCAGAAUUCAGUGAAUCAUCGAAUCUUUGAACGCAUAUUGCGCUCUCUGGUAUUCCGGAGAGCAUGCUUGUUUGAGUAUCAGUAAACACCUCAACUUCCAUAUCUUUUUUGAAAUGGGAGUUGGACUUGAGUGAUCCCAACGCUUUUCCUCACCGAAAAGUGGCGGGUUACUUGAAAUGCAGGUGCAGCUGGACUUUUCUCUGAGCUAUAAGCAUAUCUAUUUAGUCUGCCUAAAAAACAGAUUAUUACCUUUGCUGCAGCUAACAUAAAGGAGAUUAGUUCUUGUGCUGACUGAUGCAGGAUUCACAAAGACGGCUUCGGCCGACUUUGUAAACUCGAUCUCAAAUAAAGUAAGACUACCCGCUGAACUUAAGCAUAUCAAUAAGCGGAGGA